rnacentral:rRNA from 1 species
UACGGCCGCAAGGUUAAAACUCAAAUGAAUUGACGGGGGCCCGCACAAGCGGUGGAGCAUGUGGUUUAAUUCGAUGCAACGCGAAGAACCUUACCUGGUCUUGACAUCCACAGAACCCUGUAGAGAUACGGGGGUGCCUUCGGGAACUGUGAGACAGGUGCUGCAUGGCUGUCGUCAGCUCGUGUUGUGAAAUGUUGGGUUAAGUCCCGCAACGAGCGCAACCCUUAUCCUUUGUUGCCAGCGGUCCGGCCGGGAACUCAAAGGAGACUGCCAGUGAUAAACUGGAGGAAGGUGGGGAUGACGUCAAGUCAUCAUGGCCCUUACGACCAGGGCUACACACGUGCUACAAUGGCGCAUACAAAGAGAAGCGACCUCGCGAGAGCAAGCGGACCUCAUAAAGUGCGUCGUAGUCCGGAUUGGAGUCUGCAACUCGACUCCAUGAAGUCGGAAUCGCUAGUAAUCGUGGAUCAGAAUGCCACGGUGAAUACGUUCCCGGGCCUUGUACACACCGCCCGUCACACCAUGGGAGUGGGUUGCAAAAGAAGUAGGUAGCUUAACCUUCGGGAGGGCGCUUACCACUUUGUGAUUCAUGACUGGGGUGAAGUCGUAACAAGGUAACCGUAGGGGAACCUGCGGUUGGAUCACCUCCUUA